GCCGGGGUGGCCGAGUGGACUAAGGCGGUGGACUCCUCAUCCGCUGCCCCCUGCGGGGCGCCCGGGUUCNAAUCCCGGCCCCGGCGCCA
rnacentral:tRNA from 1 species